AUACAGAGGAUCCGAGCGUUAUCCGGAUUUAUUGGGUUUAAAGGGAGCGUAGGUGGAUUGUUAAGUCAGUUGUGAAAGUUUGCGGCUCAACCGUAAAAUUGCAGUUGAAACUGGCAGUCUUGAGUACAGUAGAGGUGGGCGGAAUUCGUGGUGUAGCGGUGAAAUGCUUAGAUAUCACGAAGAACUCCGAUUGCGAAGGCAGCUCACUAGACUGUUACUGACACUGAUGCUCGAAAGUGUGGGUAUCAAACAGGAUUAGAUACCCUGGUAGUCCACACAGUAAACGAUGAAUACUCGCUGUUUGCGAUAUACAGUAAGCGGCCAAGCGAAAGCAUUAAGUAUUCCACCUGGGGAGUACGCCGGCAACGGUGAAACUCAAAUGAAUUGGCGGGG
rnacentral:rRNA from 1 species